AGUACUCGAGUGGCGAACGGGUGAGUAACACGUGGGUAAUCUGCCCUGCACUCUGGGAUAAGCCUGGGAAACUGGGUCUAAUACUGGAUAUGACCUUUCUCCUUAUGGGGUUUGGUGGAAAGUUUUUCGGUGUAGGAUGAGCCCGCGGCCUAUCAGCUUGUUGGUGGGGUGAUGGCCUACCAAGGCGACGACGGGUAGCCGGCCUGAGAGGGUGACCGGCCACAUUGGGACUGAGAUACGGCCCAG
rnacentral:rRNA from 1 species